CCUUCAUCCAUUCCAAAAAUACUCCUGCUACAGCCAGAGAGAGCACACGCAGCACCCGAUGCAUCCACCUACAAACAGACCCAGUGCAUCUCCAACUGCUCCAUUUUUCCAAGACUGAAGGACGUCACAGAGACAGCCUCAGAGUCACACAACAGACGAACAGGCACUCACCCUGUUAGUAUGCGUAAAAGGCUGCACAGGCUGUGUGAAAGAUUCACUCUAGCAGAAGCAAAGGCAUAGGAAUCACGAUUGUUAUUGCAGAUACUCCCAGAGCUGUAACAGCUGAACAACAGGCCCUGUCUCAGUGAUCUCACAGCCCUUCUAAAGACACUUUAGCAUAAAGAGUACAUUGAAAAAUGACCAAAUACUUUUCACUGCUUUCACUUCGGUUGCGGUUAAGGAUGUGCAGAUCUGUUCAAGGCUGGGAUUCACAGUGCGUUUGUCUUUACCAAAAGUUAUCCAGCCAGAAAAGAGAUGAAAUCACAGCUGUGUCGGGUAUACAGGAAUAUAAAAUAAACAUAAGUAUCUUACUAGAGAUUGGAUAAUCUGCUACUUUG
ensembl:lncRNA